ACGUGAGUAACCUGCCCCAGACUCUGGGAGUAAGCGUUGGAAACGACGUCUAAUACCGGAUACGAGCUUCAGCCGCAUGGCUAGGAGCUGGAAAGAAUUUCGGUCUGGGAUGGACUCGCGGCCUAUCAGCUAGUUGGUGAGGUAACGGCUCACCAAGGCGACGAUCAGUAGCUGGUCUGAGAGGAUAAUCAGCCACACUGGGACUGAGACACGGCCCAGACUCCUACGGGAGGCAGCAGUGGGGAAUAUUGGACAAUGGGCGCAAGCCUGAUCCAGCCAUGCCGCGUGAGUGAUGAAGGC
rnacentral:rRNA from 1 species